CAUACAGUCAGCAGCAGAAGUCGCUAUACAUUCCAGGUGCUCAAAGAGAGGUAAACGUUUAAACUGUCAAAAAGUUGUUGACUGUCAUGGUCGUAUUUACUUGUGAGCGCUCAAUAUCUUAACAGUCGCUAUUCAUUAAUUUCUACACUUACAACAAGUCAUUGAUACCUUAGCUGUCAAAAAACCACUGGUAUCUAAGCGGUCAACGUGUCAAAUAUAUCUGAACAAUAUGGAAAAAUAGACGUUUAAAGCAUACAAGUAUGGUCGAAUAUUGAAUGAAAAAUAGCCAUGCUAAUUUCAGGUAAAGCGUUUUGACAAUCAUCGAAAGCAGUACAGUCUUGUCAUCGCAUACAUCUAUCUCACGUUUUGCUCUUGAACUAUUUGUCAGGGACCUCUCGGUCAACUUACAGCAAACUAUUUUAUUUCUUUUAGCAGAAUCGUCAAAACGAAUGACACAUAGCGAAAGCUAACUGAAGCCGAAUUUAGAGCCAAUUGUCAAGGCACGUUGUGGUCUCAGUAACAAGCGUUUGCUUUUCAAAGCAGAGAUCGCGGGUUCAAAUCUCAGUCGCACGCACCUAGAGAUUACAGCUUUUUUUUUUUGGGAUUUCAUUUCCAUCAUUUAUUUGUAUCUUCUGGUUUUAUGUUAAUUUCGCAGUUUAUAUAUUUUUUGAAGAUAGGUCACAUGUAGCGUAUGUAAGACUUCUAACAGGACGUUGUAGGUUUGAACCCGCAGUGGGCGUUCCUUAGAUUACUCCUGUGCGGAAUGCCAUUUGAUGUUUACUGCUAGCCUCUUUCAGUUCAAUUAUUUUCUCCUUCGUUCUUUGAUCGAUUCGGAGCAUCGUAUUUUAGUACUAUAUAGUAUAUUUUAGUACAAUAAGCGGGCUAAAUAAAUAUAUUAACAUAUAUUAUAUGCUCUACGGUUUGGAAAAACGACCGUCUAUGACUGUUAAAAUAAAAACCGAUCAUUCUCGUAGAACCUACUUAUUUAUUGUCUAAGUUUGACACUUGACGAUAAAAUACUUCUUUAAGAAAGGAGGUGUCAAUUCGUAGCUACUACAGUAUUUUUUUUAAAGUUAAACAGCAAAAAUGUUGAUGCUUAGUUACCAUUGAAAUAACAACUGCUUAGCAACUGGUGGCACCCUGGCUGCUGACGUACGUGAUUGGCAGUGCGUGUAGGUAUUAAUGACAGCAGCUUGAAUUUGAGUGCUUAGUUACUACUGACUUUCUAACCGUUAUUGUCAUUGUGAUUAAAUAAGGGUGUAUGUGUUAAAGAAAAACUCAGAAGUUAAGAUAUAUGUGACGAACUGAAAGCCUACGUGAAAAUGACCACUUAGAUGUCCUUAUUUUUGUGACGAUUGAAGUGUAUAUGUUUUCUUGGACACCUUGCCCGCUCAGGUAUAUCUGUUGCUGACUGUACAAAAAU